CUUUCUAGAGCAAGUCCCUCCUCCAAACACCAUCUGCAACCGGCUAGUAGCACAAGCACUUUAUGUAGUUUCUCAACUGGAAAUAUAAGAACAGACUUACCUUUAUAGAAGAUCUGAAUCGCUGUGAAGGUGAAGAAGUGUCCGGAGGAGCAGCAGGUGUUGAGCGCAGUGCACAUGACCACGGACCACUAGAUCCAGUUUAUCCAGCUCUGCCUAAAGAGUAAAGGAUGUGUCAGGACAACAGCAGCUCUUGGACGUGUGGACAGACAUUCACCGUAAUGAUGGACAUCUGCGCAUGGACAGGCUGAAAAGCAUAACCACUGCUGGACAUCGCUCUGGAACUCGGGGGGGGACCCGACCGUCCGCACCCCUUCUUUCAUAUACCAUUCACACAUAUCACAGAGAUCUGGCUGGGAUCGAACCAGCAACCUCUAAUCCAUGAGGUAGCGCUCUUACCUGUGAGCCACAGAUCUCUUGCUGAAUAUGUGAAGGAACUUAUAUUUCACUAUUAACUUGCUCUUUUACAAUAAACAAGUUAAAACUUUCAGGUGUAUGAUUGCCUGGGUGGGACUUGAACCCAUGCCUCAAUUGCAGCCUUGAACCAUGAGGAAACACUCUUACCUGUGAGCCACAGAUAUCUUGUUAAAGUAUGUGGAGGAACUUAUAUUUCACUGUUAACUUGUGAUUUUGCAACAAAUUAAAGCUUUUAAUUGUAUGCUUGUCAAGGUGGGAUUUGAGCCCCUGCCUCAACCACAGCCUUGAACCAUGAGGCAGCACUUUUACCUGUAAGCCACAGAUGUCUUGCUGAAAUGUGUGAAGGAACUUAUAUUUCACUGUUUACCUAUGAGUGUACAACAAAUUAGUUAAAAAUUCAGUUGGGUGCUUGUCAAGGUGAGAUUUGAACCUAUGCCUAAUUCACAGCCUUAAACUCAGACACCCAUGUGCUAAACCAGUAGUGCCAUUGUUCUUGUGUUGAGCUUUUGCAUUUGAGAUACUUAUGAUGUGAGAGUAUAUAAUGGCAACAAUUUUACCAUAAGUAGUAAUGGGAUUUGAACUCAAGUCUCCAGGAUCAAAUCACAGUGCUUUACCAACUGAGCUACUGUGUUUGGUGAAUUCCACUGUGUUUUGGAUGGUAUUUUGUUGAAAGCUUCAUUUUAAAUGAAAUUAAUCAUUUGCAAGUAAGAAACUCACACAACACAGUUACAUCAGUGAGUUCUGAUUGGGAUCAAACCAGCAACCCCAGAACCAUGAGGCAGCUUGCUUACCUGUGAGCCACAAAUCUCAUGCUCAACCAUAAGCAGGAGUUUAUAUUUUACUGCCAACCUGUAUGUGACCUAUGAUUUUUUGAGUUACCCUUGUGGUGAAUAGUGUUCCUUUGAACUACCUUUGACUUGCAUGCUCAAAAUAUUUUAUGACGUAUUGUGAAAUGCAUAGCUUGUUUCAUAUUCAAAUUCUUGUUUUUCUUAAAAAAAAAAAAAAAAAAAAGAAAGACAAUAUAAAAAAUGAAAAUCCAGACAAGUUGAGCCAGAAAGUAUGAUUUAAAAGCAAAUGUAUUGUAUUCUCCAGUGGUGAUUUUUGUGAAUUAUAUCGCUGCAGAUCUAGUGCUGAAAAUGUCUUGUUUUUGUGGUUCUCUGAAAU